AUUGAACGCUGGCGGCAUGCCUUACACAUGCAAGUCGAACGGCAGCACGGGUGCUUGCACCUGGUGGCGAGUGGCGAACGGGUGAGUAAUACAUCGGCACAUGUCCUGUAGUGGGGGAUAGCCCGGCGAAAGCCGGAUUAAUACCGCAUACGAUCCACGGAUGAAAGCGGGGGACCUUCGGGCCUCGCGCUAUAGGGUUGGCCGAUGGCUGAUUAGCUCGUUGGUGGGGUAAAGGCCUACCAAGGCGACGAUCAGUAGCUGGUCUGAGAGGACGACCAGCCACACUGGGACUGAGACACGGCCCAGACUCCUACGGGAGGCAGCAGUGGGGAAUUUUGGACAAUGGGCGAAAGCCUGAUCCAGCAAUGCCGCGUGUGUGAAGAAGGCCUUCGGGUUGUAAAGCACUUUUGUCCGGAAAGAAAUCCUUGACUCUAAUACAGUCGGGGGAUGACGGUACCGGAAGAAUAAGCACCGGCUAACUACGUG
rnacentral:rRNA from 1 species